ACAGCAGCAGCCGCGGGAAUACGAAGGGUGCAAGCGUUACUCGGAAUUACUGGGCGUAAAGCGUGCGUAGGUGGUGGUUUAAGUCCGUUGUGAAAGCCCUGGGCUCAACCUGGGAAUUGCAGUGGAUACUGGGUCACUAGAGUGUGGUAGAGGAUAGUGGAAUUUCCGGUGUAGCAGUGAAAUGCGUAGAGAUCGGAAGGAACAUCUGUGGCGAAGGCGACUAUCUGGGCCAACACUGACACUGAGGCACGAAAGCGUGGGGAGCAAACAGGAUUAGAGACCCCCGUAGUCCCUGUCUCUUAUAC
rnacentral:rRNA from 1 species